ACCAGAGUACUAUGAAUAUGAAAAAUUUAAAACUCAAAGAACUUGGCGGUGUUUUAGACCACUUAGGGGAACCUGUCUCAUAAUCGAUAAUCCACGUUAUACCUGACCUUUUUUUGUUAUCAGUUUGUAUACCGUUGUCGUCAGGUAACUUUUUAGAAUUUAGAAGUUAGCAAUUAAGAAAAAUAAAAAUAAUCCGUUACGUCAAAUCAAGGUGCAGCUAAUAGAAAGGGGAGGAUGGGUUACAAUUAUAUAAAUCAUAAUAACGGAUAGGGGCAUGAAAUUUAUGUCAGCUGUAAGGUGGACUUAAAAGUAAAUUAAAUUACAUAAGCAAUUUGAAUAAGGCUCUGAAACGCGU
rnacentral:rRNA from 1 species